rnacentral:rRNA from 1 species
AUUGAACGCUGGCGGCAUGCUUUACACAUGCAAGUCGAACGGCAGCGCGGGGCAACCUGGCGGCGAGUGGCAAACGGGUGAGUAAUACAUCGGAACGUACCCAGAAGUGGGGGAUAACGUAGCGAAAGUUACGCUAAUACCGCAUACGUUCUACGGAAGAAAGUGGGGGACCUUCGGGCCUCAUGCUUUUGGAGCGGCCG